AGAUAUUUACUAUUGAUAAUGUCGAAAAGCAGUGAUGAAGAAAUUAUUUCACCCAUGAGGAAAAACAGAACAAGACCAUUGAUUAGUUCAGAUAGUGAAGAAGAAAUAGUAACUAAUAAUUUAAAA